GCCGUGAUCGUAUAGUGGUUUGUACUCUGCGUUGUGGCCGCAGAAACCCUGGUUCGAAUCCGGGUCACGGCA
rnacentral:tRNA from 1 species